GGCUCCCAACGCCGGUAGAGGGGUUGUUGAGGAACGCCCCAGACCGGAUCCCGAGAGCGCAGGCGCAGAAGAGGCAAAGGGCGGGGCUUUGCGGCUGAGACCCGGAGGUGGCGUCCGAAAACUGAUGAAAGAGACUAGAACAGUGAUGCAAACGAGUUUCGGCUCCCUGGGACAUUGGGGUCAGUUUUCCGGAGGACAGUGGGCAGGUUUAAUGAUAAAGACACUUUUCAAUGCCUGGACUGAAUGUACUCUGACAACUGAUGUCAAGAACCUGAAGAUCAAAGACACGUUCACAAACAGGGCUUGGCUCCACCCAGGGGCACUGCAUGACACGGAACACUUUAAAACCCGUAAAGGGCUGUGCAGUGAGAGUCACUGGUGUAAAAAUGAAGAAGUGGAGGCCUGGCCCAUCACACUGAGCUCAGCUGGCAGUCAGGACUCUUGGCUCUACACCCGUUCUGCCUCUAACCUUCCAUGUGACCUUGGAUGAAGCAUGGAGCCCCUUGGAUCCAGGUUUUUCCCACCUGUAGAGAGUUCGCCCAGACGCCCUGCAAACGCCCGCCAGCCCUGGCAACCCAGAGUCUAGAUUGUGGUGACCUCUUACC